rnacentral:lncRNA from 10 species
UGAAGGUAGGGAGGGAAGGAGGGGGAAUGGUCAGAGCUCCCUUUGGUGACCCACCCACCAGGGAUUCUGGGCCCUGGCCGUCUGUCCUUCUGGCCUGGUGAGCUGCCUUCCCUCUCUUCUGUGGAUCUGCAUGUGACACCUGGCACCUUCUUUGAGGAUGAAUCCUAGCCCAUGGUGAACAGUUUCUCAAAAGGGAACUCCGCCAAGAAGUCUGCCCACAGAGCUGACGCCCCACUCUGCCUGCACCCACCGGAGUCAGCACUCUUGGGGCUGGGCCCUGGCCACUGUCCUGUCUCCU